AUAUCAAUAAGCGGAGGAAAAGAAACUAACAAGGAUUCCCCUAGUAACUGCGAGUGAAGCGGGAAAAGCUCAAAUUUAAAAUCUGGCGGUCUUCGGCCGUCCGAGUUGUAAUCUGGAGAAGCGUCUUCCGCGCUGGACCGUGUACAAGUCUCUUGGAACAGAGCGUCGCAGAGGGUGAGAAUCCCGUCUUUGACACGGACUACCAGUGCUAUGUGAUGCGCUCUCGACGAGUCGAGUUGUUUGGGAAUGCAGCUCAAAAUGGGUGGUAAAUUCCAUCUAAAGCUAAAUAUUGGCGAGAGACCGAUAGCGAACAAGUACCGUGAGGGAAAGAUGAAAAGCACUUUGGAAAGAGAGUUAAACAGUACGUGAAAUUGCUGAAAGGGAAACGAUUGAAGUCAGUCGCGUGUGCUAGAACUCAGCCUUGCUUUUGCUUGGUGCAUUUUCUAGUGUACGGGCCAGCAUCAGUUUCGGUUGCCGGAAAAAGGCCUUGGGAAUGUGGCACCUUCGGGUGUGUUAUAGCCCUCGGUUGUAUACGGUGGCUGGGACUGAGGAACAUAGCACGCCUUUACGGCGGGGCUUCGGCCACCUUCGUGCUUUGGAUGCUGGCGUAAUGGCUU
rnacentral:rRNA from 1 species